AAGUCCUGCCUGCUCCUGCUGACCCUCCACAUCACGAUGGAGGGGAUGGCUCUCUACCUGGUAGCUGCUCUCCUGGUCUGUUUUCCAGCUCCAUCUCACAGCCAGCUCUUCUCCCUCAUCACCCCCAGUGUCUUGAGGAUAGACAGCUAAGAGCAGGUUGUGGUGGAGGCUCAUGGACUCAAUGCUGAAACAGAGGUAACAAUCACCGUCCUAGAUUUCCCUCACAAGAGGAACAACUUCUACUGGAUCAAAGCUUCCCUGAAGCCAGAAAAUGGCAUGAUAGCAACUCCAUUCAUAAAGCUCUCCGCAAGAGACCUCAAGAAGGAUUCCAGGAAAAAGACAUAUGUUGUUGUCCACGCCAUCUCUACUCACUUC